CACAGCUUGAUGACCAAGUUGAAAGCCGUGGUGGGACGGAGGAGUCAGAGUCGGACGACCCUGCACAGUCUGAUGAAUCAUCGACACUUGCACAGGGCCCACAGGCCCAUAAUGAAGGUGACGAUGAAGGCACUGGUGGUACGGAGGAGUCUGAACAGGCGCAGUCUGCUGGUGAUGGAACUGAAAUAACAAGUAGGGAC